rnacentral:misc_RNA from 1 species
CGCACCUUGCGCCCUUUGGUAUUCCGAGGGGCAUGCCUGUUUGAGUGUCAUUAAAUUAUCAACCUUUACUAGCUUUUGCUUUGCUAAAGGAUUGGAAGUGGGGGUAUUCAUUUUGCAGGUUUUUGAUAAAGAAAUCUGCUCCCCUCAAAUGCAUUAGCGGUUUCCUUGUGGACUCGUCUAUUAGUGUAAUAAAAUAUAUCUACGCUGUUAGAUGUCUACGUCUUAAGGUUAUAUACUGCUUUAUAGUCGUCUUUUAAUAGGACAACAUUUUUUGACUCUUGACCUCAAAUCAGGUAGGACUACCCGCUGAACUUAA